UUUUCCCUUUUGUUCUGGUCUUUAGCUAAUCGUUUCUUUUUCAUUUUCAUUUCCUCUGAAGAAGAGCAGGGAUGAAACACAGGUUGGAGAAAAAUGAAGAAGGAUGCCGCAUCGGAGAUAAGAGAAUACUGCCGAGAGAGGGUAGGUGGUGCUGUUGGCAGUGGUGGUUCUUCUCCUUUUUCUAACACAAACUGAUAGACGAAAGCCGAAAGAGGAGGCACCACACAAGAAGAAAAAAAGGGGGGCAAGGAAGCCAUGACGAAAAAGAGAAAUCUACAGAGAGAUGGCCUUGCUCUCUCGUCACUGAUGAUGAGGAUGGUUUUUAAGGUUGGGGAACAUCAGGAGGAUUUUGUUGUGGGAGAUAAGAACUGAAAGAUGAGGUUCGAAUUUAUACAUGGAUGAUGUUGCUCUUCGCGGGUAAUUGAUAUGGUACAAAGGAAACAUGUAUAUGAUAUUAAGCAAUUGAUUUUAACCAGAGAUGGUGGAAGUUGUUCUCAACAUGUAUUCCAGUUUGAUCCUCCAUGAUGACCAUACAAGAAUAAUUCUCUCAUAUCCCUCCUCAGGAUAGUAGAUAUUGCUGGGUGGUUUGGUUGAUUGUAUUGCAUAGUAAAAAAAGAUUGAAUCUGAAAUGUUGACAAAAAUGUAAAGUGAAUAAUAUCUUUUCAUGUUGCAAUCCUCUAGAUUUGUGAGGGUCAAAUUUGAGAGGGGAAGACCUGAUGUCAACCUCAACACUGAGUAGUAGUUGUUUUAGUUGGGUUUUGCCUUGUGAUUAUUUUUUGUUACUCUAUGUAUCUGUGAGCCCACAUGCACCUAAAUUUUUAUGAAUUGUUAGCUCACAUGAACACUCAUUUUAUGAAUUCCACUUGGGAUUAUCUUUUUCCAUUAACAGAAAGUUGUUUGUUAGGUACAUGCAAUGGUAGUUGCAAUCUCCAUGUACAUGUUGUAUACCUAAAUCGCAAUUUUCAUUUCUUAAUGAAUUGUUAGCUCACACGAACACUCAUUUUAUGAAUUCCACUUGGGAUUAUCUUUUUCCAUUAACAGAAAGUUGUUUGUUAGGUACAUGCAAUGGUAGUUGCAAUCUCCAUGUACAUGUUGUAUACCUAAAUCGCAAUUUUCAUUUAUUAAUUGCUCCUUUUUUAUGGAUUCAAAUUUGAGAGGGGAAGACCUGAUGGCAACCUCAACACUGAGUAGUAGUUGUUUUAGUUGGUUUUUGCCUUAUGAUUAUUUUUUGUUACUCUAUGCAUCUGUGAGCCCACAUGCACCUAAAUUUUUAUGAAUUGUUAGCUCACACGAACACUCAUUUUGUGAAUUCCACUUGGGAUUAUCUUUUUCCAUUAACAGAAAGUUGUUUGUUAGGUACAUGCAAUGGUAGUUGCAAUCUCCAUGUACAUGUUGUGUACCUAAAUCACAAUUUUCAUUUAUUUAUUGCUCCUUAUUUAUGGAUUCAAAUUUCUUCCCAGCCUCAAAUGCCCUACAUUAAUAUGGGAGAAGACAGUGAUACAGAACCCCAUCCUGGACUUCUAUACUAUAAUUUCCUUUAGGCAAUGAUAUGGGGCUGGGCAGAAGUUUGGUGGUCUGUUAAUUAGUUUCAGGUCUAGGGACAGUCUUGCUUCGGCUUAUUCUAUUGAAGGCCUCUUGACCAGUUAUUCCAAUUCUUUUGAGUGAUGGUUUGGAUUUUUAUCAACAGCGAUGUGCCUUCCAUUCACAUUUAAACUACUUGAUUUGCGUGCUUUGUCAGUUAAAUGGUUGGUUAGUCUGCCUAUUGUUAGGUAUUUCCUCUAUCUAGGUGUACUGUUAAAUCAAAUGCUUUAAGUUUAUGUUGAACUGGUUUUCUCUAUAAAUAUAGUUCAUUUCCUAUCUCCUUGAAAGCUGCAACAAUUGUUAUUUGUUCUUUGAAAAAAUGGUGAUGCCAAUGAUCAAUGAAUAUAGUGAUUCUCCAGCUUUUCUCUAAAAGCCAAGCUAAAAUCUUCUCUUUGUUGCUCCCCCACCAGUGACAUGACCCAUCAGCAUGAGAUGCUUGAUCAAGAUCAUGACCAAGAUUGGAAUAACAGUACGAAGCUGCAGCCACAGGCACCAAGAUCACCUUAUGCCUGGCUCAAAUCAACAACCCAUGAUUUGGAUAUUAAGGAUAAGUAUCUUGGGUUGAUUGGAAAGAGAGGAAAGAACAUGAAACAUCUUUGUCCAGAGGAUUUUGGGUAUGAUCCUCGAAACUAUUCUCAUAACUUUGAGGAUGAUUUUCGCAGAGAAGAUGAAUUGCGCUCAAUCAUAAUUGUAGGGGAAGAUUUCCUACCACAAGAGAGAUUUGUGGUGCUGCUGCAGGUAAGGAGGACAGAGAUUAAAUUGUGGAGCAUAUAGAUUCAAUUGUGGAGCAUAUAUUUUAGGAUGGAUGUUUGUGGGUUUUAUUUGUUGCAAUCUAGGUGUUGUGGUUUGUUUCUUGCACAGGCCAUUGAACUUAAUUUUCAAAAGCAAAAAAAUUGAGGAAGAAAAAUAGAGUAAGAUGUUUAAUUAGCGUAAAUUAUGAUGCGUAAAUUAUGAUGAAAUACAAUGUGUUUAGAUUUGUUAAUUUUUUUUUGUUAAUGCUUGCAGAUUUUGAAUUUUGAUGGAGAGUUUUAAUGGGUGAAGCACUUCGAUUGCAUUGGCAUUAACUAUUUAAGAACUUAGGAGUGGAAGAUAUGCUAUUGAAAAAAUAGACAUGGCCUUUUGAAGGAGCUUGGCCUUCUCGAAAAAAACACACUUCAAGACAAUAGCUCUCCCCUAUUGUACAAGGGAGAAAUAGCUACAAACAUUGACUUUGACAAAACAUGUGUUGUGCACAUGAUGUACAGUUAUAUUUUAACCGAACUACCAUUGUUUAAAAGAAAUAUUGUUUAAGGAUUAAUGAAAAAGAAUUAAUGCUUGGAAUGAAGAAUUUUAAAAAUAA